rnacentral:lncRNA from 1 species
CCAACAAUGUCACCCAUCUACCCCAACAAUGUCACCCAUUGGGUGUCCCCAGCAGUGUCACCCAUUGUCCCCAACCAUGUCACCCACUGUCCCCAACCAUGUCACCCAUUGUCCCCAACAGCGUCACCCAUUGGUUGUCCCCAACAACGUCACCCAUUGUCCCCAACAACGUCACCCAUUGUCCCCAACAAUGUCACCCAUUGACCCCAACAAUGUCACCCGCCGGGUGUCCCCAGCAGUGUCACCCAUUGGUUGUCCCCAACAACGUCACCCAUUGUCCCCAACAACGUCACCCAUUGUCCCCAACAAUGUCACCCAUUGACCCCAACCAUGUCACCCAUUGUCCCCAACAGCGUCACCCAUUGUCCCCAACAGCGUCACCCAUUGGUUGUCCCCAACGUCACCCAUUGACCCCAACCAUGUCACCCAUUGACCCCAACC